rnacentral:rRNA from 1 species
AUUGAACGCUGGCGGCAGGCCUAACACAUGCAAGUCGAGCGGAUGAAGGGAGCUUGCUCCUGGAUUCAGCGGCGGACGGGUGAGUAAUGCCUAGGAAUCUGCCUGGUAGUGGGGGAUAACGUCCUGAAACGGGCGCUAAUACCGCAUACGUCCUGAGGGAGAAAGUGGGGGAUCUUCGGACCUCACGCUAUCAGAUGAGCCUAGGUCGGAUUAGCUAGUUGGUGGGGUAAAGGCUUACCAAGGCGACGAUCCGUAACUGGUCUGAGAGGAUGACCAGUCACACUGGAACUGAGACACGGUCCAGACUCCUACGGGAGGCCGCAGUGGGGAAUAUUAGGCAAUGGGCGAAAGCCUGAUCCAGCCAUGCCGCGUGUGUGAAGAAGGUCUUCGGAUUGUAAAGCACUUUAAGUUGGGAGGAAGGGCAGUAAGUUAAUACCUUGCUGUUUUGACGUUACCAACAGAAUAAGCACCGGCUAACUUCGUG